rfam:Vigna angularis cultivar Jingnong 6 scaffold208_14, whole genome shotgun sequence.
UAGCGGCUUAGUUAGGAGGUGCACAUUAAUCGGAUCCAAAUUCGUUUUUGGAUCCAUUCGGAGAAAGGCCUUUUGAAGGGACUCUGCGUUUCUUAUCGAUUGUUCCUCAAGCAGCCAUUCACAUUC